rnacentral:rRNA from 1 species
UGGGGAAUUUUGCACAAUGGGGGAAACCCUGAUGCAGCGACGCCGCGUGAUUUAGAAGGCCUUCGGGUUGUAAAAAUCUUUUUUACGGGAUGAAAAUGACAGUACCGUAAGAAUAAGGUCCGGCUAAAUACGUGCCAGCAGCCGCGGUAAUACGUAUGGACCGAGCGUUGUCCGGAAUCAUUGGGCGUAAAGGGUACGUAGGCGGCCUAGUAAGUUAGAAGUGAAAUAAUAUAGCUCAACUAUAUAAAGCUUUUAAAACUGCUAGGCUUGAGAGAUGGAAGGGAAAGUGGAAUUCCUAGUGUAGCGGUGAAAUGCGCAGAUAAUAGGAAGAAUACCGGUGGCGAAGGCGACUUUCUGGUCAUCAUCUGACGCUGAGGUACGAAAGCGUGGGUAGCAAACAGG